rnacentral:SRP_RNA from 1 species
GCCGGGCAUGGUGGCUCAUGCCUGUAAUCCCAGCACUUUGGGAGGCUGAGGCGGGUGGAUCACCUGAGGUUGGGAGUUCAAGACCAGCCUGACCAACAUGGAGAAACCCCGUCUCUA